CAGUCGCCGCGGUAAUGCGUAGGUGGCGAGCGUUGUCCGGAAUUAUUGGGCGUAAAGGGAGCGCAGGCGGACAUAUAAGUCCAUCUUAAAAGUGCGGGGCUCAACCCCGUGAGGGGAUGGAAACUGUAUGCCUUGAGUGCAGGAGAGGAAAGCGGAAUUCCCAGUGUAGCGGUGAAAUGCGUAGAUAUUGGGAGGAACACCAGUGGCGAAGGCGGCUUUCUGGACUGUAACUGACGCUGAGGCUCGAAAGCCAGGGGAGCGAACGGGAUUAGAUACCCCCGUAGUCCCUGUCUCUUAUACA
rnacentral:rRNA from 1 species